AGAACGAACGCUGGCGGCAGGCCUCAAACAUGCAAGUCUAGGGGGUGUAGCAAUACAUCACCGGCGGACGGGUGCGUAACACGUGGGAAUAUACCUUUCGGUACGGAACAACUGCGGGAAACUGCAGCUAAUACCGUAUACGUCCUAGCGGAGAAAGAUUUAUCGCCGAAGGAUUAGCCCGCGUUCGAUUAGCUAGUUGGUGGGGUAAUGGCCCACCAAGGCGACGAUCGAUAGCUGUUCUGAGAGGAAGAUCAGCCACACUGGGACUGAGACACGGCCCAGACUCCUACGGGAGGCAGCAGUUGGGAAUCUUGGACAAUGGGGGAAACCCUGAUCCAGCCAUGCCGCGUGAGUGAUGAAGGCCUUCGGGUUGUAAAACUCUUUCGACGGGACGAUAAUGACGGUACCCGUAGAAGAAGCUCCGGCUAACUUCGUGCCAGCAGCCGC
rnacentral:rRNA from 1 species